CAUGGCCUCUUGCAACCCACAAAUAAGAGGUCCAACCUGCCCAGUGACAAUAAGGUUAACGGCCGCGGUAUUUUAACCGUGCUAAGGUAGCGUAAUCACUUGUCUUUUAAAUGAAGACCCGUAUGAAAGGUGUCACGAGGGCCCUCCUGUCUCCUACUUCAAGUCUAUGAAAUUGAUCUGCCCGUGCAGAAGCGGGCAUACCCACAUAAGACGAGAAGACCCUGUGGAGCUUAAGACUACAACCAAUCAUGCCUAGUAACCUACCCUCCAAACGGCACAAAAGGUCCAAUAAGCUUAAUGACGAUGGUUUACUGUCUUCGGUUGGGGCGACCAUGGGGGACAGAAAAGCCCCCAAGAAGAAGCAGGGGACCAAUUACACCGAUCCCUAAGAGUUAAGAGCUACAACUCUAAACAACAGAAAUAUCUGACUAAUAAUGAUCCAGGUAACAAACCUGAUCAACGGACCAAGUUACCCCAGGGAUAACAGCGCAAUCCUUUCCCAGAGCCCAUAUCGCCGAAAGGGUUUACGACCUCGAUGUUGGAUCAGGACAUCCUGGUGGCGAAAAUUCUACCAAGGGUUCGUUUGUUCAACGAUUAAAGUCCUACGUGAU
rnacentral:rRNA from 1 species